rnacentral:rRNA from 1 species
UACGAAGGGGGCUAGCGUUGCUCGGAAUUACUGGGUGUAAAGCGCGCGUAGGCGGUAGGCCAAGUCUGCUGUGAAAUCGCCCGGCUCAACUGGGCGCGGUCGGUGGAAACUGGUCAACUGGAGGACGGUAGAGGCGAGUGGAAUUCCUGGUGUAGCGGUGGAAUGCGCAGAUAUCAGGAGGAACACCGAGUGGCGAAAGGC